CCGGGUCACAGCUGCCACCACUCACUGCGCCGGGCACCAGGUGGCUUCAAUCUGGGCUCCACCUCUCCUGGAUGCUGAGUGAGUAUCCGGCAGCACCUGGGGAGAGCUGGAGGCGUCACCUCCCGAAACUUUUCCAUGUUCUGAGCACGAUGAUGGGAAGGGAGAGCGGGAGUCGCUGCCUUGCAAAGUUCUGAUGAAGAUUUCUGCUGCAGUGGCAAGAUGAGGGCGUGUUUUCAUUCAGUGUGUCGUGCACGUAAGGAUCCUUCUCGAGGGAACCCCUUUUUAUCACCUAACCCAGUCUGGCUCACAAUUUUAGCACCAGGGAAAAGUCACUGGUUCCUGGUGACUCCAGCAGGACUUGUGACACAGCUGCUUGGACUGGGCACCACCCUGCCCCCACCAGCCAUCAUUUUAAGAUAAAUUGUGGGUUCUUCAUGGUGCUCCAGGAAACUCCAGGAGUUCCAGAACCCAGCCCAGGAAUAGAGGUGUCUGCCAUGGAGGAAGAAAAAGAAUAAAAGAAGAAAGAAGAAGAAAAGGCUGUGGUUUCUGCUGCUGCUGCUGGGAACAUUGGAUUUUGUGCAGGGAACAACUUCUGCUGCUGUUCCUCACAGAGCCUGGGACUCUGUACCAGGGAGCAGCUCUGCAGCUGCUGCUGGGGACUCCAGCCAGAAAGAUUUCAGCAUGCAGUUUAAUACUUCAGCAUGGACUUUUAAACUUAGAACUCUUUGUCUUCGAGACUGAUGUAUUCAUAUAUACUAAAUAUAGAAUAGAUUAAAUUGUAUAAUAGAA